rnacentral:lncRNA from 1 species
UUGUAGUUUUACAAGAAAACAAAAAAAAAAAAAAAUACUAAAUGACUGGUGAUGGUAGCUCAGCACUUAAUACCAAUGAACCAAAUAUUUAUGAUAGUAAAUUUUGCUUUAACACAACUAAAAAAAAGUAUAAUUUUGGUAUAUGGGUAGAUCAUAACUAUUAUAACAAAGUAGACAUGGGAAUUUUCAAGUUUCUUAUACAAAUAUGAUUUUGGGUUUUUGUUUAUUUUUUGUUUUGGGUACUAGGAAUUGAAAUUGGGUCUCCUACAUGUUAAGCAGGCAGCACCAACCACACUACUCCAUCCCUAGCCUUAACAUCUAAAUCUCAUAUGAUAACAUUUUUACUUUAGCCUCUUCCAACUUUCACUUUUUUGAGAGCAUAAACUCAGGCCUUGUACAUGUUAGGCAAAUACUCGAUCACUGCUUUUCAAUUCCAGUUCUAGAGUCACUGUCUUAUCUGCAUCCUGUUUCACAGUCAGUAGGAUUACAGGAGCAUAUAGCAUCAUGCCCAGCUUUUUAUGUGGGUUCUGUGAGCCCAGUGCUUCACCGACUGAGCCAUCUCUCCAAGUCUUUGCUGUUUUUGUCUUAGAAAAAAACAUAAUGUGCACUGAACAAUUUUAGGUGAUUGUAUUUGUUUAAAUUAUAUAUAAGUGUUCCCAAGAUACUUAAUUAGUUUAAUGUUUGCAAAUUUUAUCUUUAACAUACAGAAUGGGGGCUGUGGAAAUAACACCUAAGAGGUAAUAGGUUUCUCUUUAAGUUGUAAAAAAAUUAUAAAACUGAUUAUGGUAAAAGUCACACAUUUUUACAUAUGCCAAAACCCACUGAACCAUAAAAAUUUAAGUGUGAAAUUUACGGCCUGUGAAUAAAAUAUCAAGGAAGUUAUCUUAUGUAGUUGAAGUAGUAAAAACCAUGAAAGCUAUGAUGUCUCAGCACUUGACAGGUCUUUAUUUCAUUUUAAUAAAGUUUUAUUCCCCAAUUGUGAAAAAAAAAAAAAAAAAAACAACCCAUACAGAAUGUAUUCAGUCAACAAUCUGUUUAUGGUAAGCUUUGGUUUAGUGGGGUUUUGUGUUUCAUGUUUAGGCUGUAGCUCUCUUAACCACAAGAAACUUAAACCCGAAAACGAAAUUUGAGAUGCCAGACAUACAGGAGUGUAAACCACUUGCCCUUUGGUAAGGGCUCCAUGGAUAUCAAGUGAUUUGAAACACUGUUGGGUUUUAUUUUAUGUAUGUUUGGAGAGGUAAAGACAGGAAAAGAAAAGCUGUCUUUUCUGUUUAAAACAGUUUUGUCCUGGGCUGGAGACAGGGGUGGUAGCAUAUGCCUUUAGUUCUAGCACGGUAGGGCAGAGGCAGGUGGAUAUAUAAGUUCAAGUUCAGCCUGGUCUACAUAGUGAGUUCUAGGUCAUUGAGAGCUAUACGGGCAGAUUCUGUCUUUAAAAACCAUAAUAUAUAUGAAAAUAAAUAAAAACUAAUAAAUAUUAAAAUUAAUAAGAUACUUCUGUUUUUUAUUUGCUUCACAUUUGAGUUUUCAAGAAGGCUACAUUUUAGGGAAUCCAUCAUGAUGGCUCAGCAGGUGAAGGCCCUUGUCCCCAAACCUGAUGACUUGAAAAAACAAGUUAUCUUUGGGACUUAAAAAAAGGUAGAAGAAGAGAACUGACUCCUAGGAGCAAGCUGUCUUCUGACCACAUGUAUGAUGUGUCAUGGCACAUGCUCUUGAGUGGUGUGCACAUCUAUGUAGAAUAAGUAAAUGUAAUCUUUUUAAAGUAAAUUUUUAGGGUGUGGAGAUAUGGCUCAGUGGUUAAGAGCUCUGGUUGCUCUUCCAGAAGCCCUGGGUUCAAUUUCCAGCAAAAACAUGAAACCUAACAACCAUCUCUAACUUGAGUUCCAGGGGAUCAGACACCCUUUUGGUACCCACAGAUACUGAGUACACGUGUGGUGCAGAUAGAUGCAAGCAACACAUAUGCAGACACACAAAAUAAAAAUGAAUACAUCUCUUUUUAAAAAUAAAUUUGGUGACUCUAGAGAUGACUUAAGCAAUUAAGACUGCUUACUGCUCUUGCAGAGAACCCAAAUUCAGUUCCCAGCAUCCUUCUGCACUCACCUGCACAUACGCAUAUCCACAUUAGUAAAUAUAAAACAAGUACUUUUUCAGAAAGUCAGUUUAUAAACUGCUUGUGUAAACCUUUAUUUUUACUGGGUUAACUUUAUGGGGGCCUAUGGGGAUAAUUAUUUUGACCAGAAUCUAUGUAUAGGCCUGAGACUAAAACUUAGUUUUGCUGACUGUGAAGCAAUACUGUAUACCUUUCUACUUUAGUUCAUUUUUAUUAAUCCUCUUUCAGAAAAGCAAGUCACAAGGGCUGGGUGUACAGCUUAGUUGGUAGCAUGCUUGUCUAGCUUGCAUAGGGUUUGAUCCCUAAUAUUAUAAACUAGCCAUUGUGUUAUAUGCCUAUAAUCUUAUUACUCAGAAGCUAGAAGCAAGAUCAGAAAUUCAGUGUUACACUUGGCUUCAUAACAAACUUGAGGCCAGCUUAGGCUACUUAAUGAGACCAUAAAAAGGAAAGCAGAUCAUAAAAUUACAAUUUUGUCAAUUGUAUCUAAAAUAACUGCUUUAUGUUGGAUGCUUUUUUUCUCAUAAGAUAGUAUUUCUUAGUCAGACAUAGUGACAUAUGUCUAUUAUCCAAUGCUCUGGAGUCUAAGGCAGGAGGAUUUCAAGUUUCAGGCCACAAUAUGCCACUUAAUGAGAAGGAUUCAUAAUUUGUUAUAAACCUUUCAGGGAAAGGUACUUAAUUUUCCAUUAAACAUACCUGAUAUUUAAGCACUUACAUUUUAGCCUUAUAUUAGUAAGUGAUUAAAGGUACUAAGGAACAGUGAUACAGUUUUCUUUGGGUAUAGAAUCAAUAUUAUUUUUUGUAUGCCUACAUUUAUAAUCCCUUAAUGAAACUUUUUUUUUUAACUUUUAUUUUACUUAAUCUUGGGCUGUAGUUAUCCAUACAUAUGGAUACAAAUACAUUUUGAUACGCCAACAAGCCAUAAGUAAUAAUAAAUGUGUAUGGAGAAUCUCAGCUUGGGUUAGGUAUUUCAUUAAUCACUUACUUGGCAUCAAGCUAUAACAUUCUAAUGUUUUUCCUUGGGAAGUAAUUCAUUAAUGUUUUUUGUAGAUAAAUCCUAAAAUGAUCCGGUCUUGUAGGUUAUUAGGUUGGAUAACUUAAAAUCUAAUAAUAAUACUUUUUAUGCAGAUCUUUGAUGGGAAGCAGAUUCCGCAGAGAAUGGUUGAUGGAUGGAAUGCCUUUUUCUUUGAUAAAACAGAAGAGCUGGUAAUUUUUGUAUAAUUAUUACAUUAUAGUAUACUGGAUGGCAUUAGGAUAUGCAUACUUUAAUAAUUUUACUUGUUUUUAUUCUUUAUAUUUUUAAUAAUAUGUAACCUUUCUCUUCUUUUUCCUUAUCCUCCUCUUCCCAUAUUUCUCUUUUCCUUCCCAUUUUGUUAACUGAAGAAAAAGCGUUUACCUUCACUUGGGAAGAACACGGAAUCACUGGGAGAGCUUUGGUUAGGACUGCUUCGCUUCUAUACAGAAGAGUUUGAUUUUAAGGAGUAUGUAAUCAGUAUUCGGCAGAAGAAGCUGCUGACCACUUUUGAAAAGCAGUGGACUUCUAAAUGCAUUGCAAUUGAAGGUGACUGUUUACAUUACUUUCAAUUCAAGAACACAAAAAUUUAGCAGGGAAAGCUGAUCUAAAAAGAGUCAACCUCUUGUUUUCAAUCACUUAAUUUUAAGAGGAUAAUUCACUCACUUGGAUAGUUUGCGAGUAUAUAGCACUAGACUCCUGUUUGGCACACUCUACUUUAUGGCAUAAUAUUUAUAAAUAUUAAUUUAUGAAUAUUUCUUUUCUAGAUCCUUUUGACUUGAAUCAUAACCUUGGUGCUGGUGUUUCUAGAAAAAGUAAGUUUUAAAAGUAGAGAAUAUGUGCAUUCAAAUUUCUGAUAAGUAGUGUCUAAAUCUUUUGUUAUAUUCUUUCUUCAACAGUGACUAAUUUUAUUAUGAAGGCGUUUAUCAAUGGAAGGAAACUUUUUGGUACCCCCUUUUAUCCACUCAUUGGCAGAGAAGCUGUAAGUUUAUAUUUGAGAAUUUUAUUUUCUUUCUUUUUCUUGUAGAACUUCAUUGACAUUUCGGGUUUUUACAGAUGGCAGAGUGCAAGGGAGCAAAACCUCUGAUGCAGAUUUUCCCAUUCUGCAAUUCACAGAAAGGAGAAAUCUGAAGUAUCAACUUACCACGAAUCCUGCUUAAAAUCUGCUGUGGUCGCAGUGUACUGGAUUAGACAGCAGAGACAGAUUUCCUUUUUCUGACUCCACUUGCUGUUUUCACACACUGCUGUUUGGUCUCACUCAGCUUUUGCUUGCUUUCCAUUGCUUAGGAGACCAGAGGAGUUUUCAGUUUUAGAGGAAGAGACUUUGAAC